rnacentral:rRNA from 1 species
UACGAAGGGGGCUAGCGUUUUUCGGAAUCACUGGGCGUAAAGCGCGCGCAGGCGGCUUUCCAAGUCAGGGGUGAAAUCCCGGGGCUUAACCCCGGAACUGCCUUUGAAACUGGUAAGCUGGAGACUCGGAGAGGAUAGUGGAAUUCCAGGUGUAGAGGUGAAAUUCGUAGAUACCUGGAGGAACACCGAUGGCGAAGGCAGCUAUCUGGACGAGCGCUGACGCUGAGGCGCGAAAGCGUGGGGAUCAAACAGG